rnacentral:rRNA from 1 species
UGGGGAAUUUUGGACAAUGGGCGAAAGCCUGAUCCAGCAAUGCCGCGUGUGUGAAGAAGGCCUUCGGGUUGUAAAGCACUUUUGUCCGGAAAGAAAUCCUUGGCUCUAAUACAGUCGGGGGAUGACGGUACCGGAAGAAUAAGCACCGGCUAACUACGUGCCAGCAGCCGCGGUAAUACGUAGGGUGCAAGCGUUAAUCGGAAUUACUGGGCGUAAAGCGUGCGCAGGCGGUUUGCUAAGACCGAUGUGAAAUCCCCGGGCUCAACCUGGGAACUGCAUUGGUGACUGGCAGGCUAGAGUAUGGCAGAGGGGGGUAGAAUUCCACGUGUAGCAGUGAAAUGCGUAGAGAUGUGGAGGAAUACCGAUGGCGAAGGCAGCCCCUGGGCCAAUACUGACGCUCAUGCACGAAAGCGUGGGGAGCAAACAGGAUUAGAUACCCUGGUAGUCCACGCCCUAAAACGAUGUCAACUAGUUGUUGGGGAUUCAUUUCCUUAGUAACGUAGCUAACGCGUGAAGUUGACCGCCUGGGGAGUACGUCGCAAGAUUAAAACUUAAAUGAAUUG